rnacentral:lncRNA from 1 species
AAGCGGGAAAAUGGCGCCGACGUGAGCGUGAGCCUGUGCCGCCAAGGAGGCCGCCCCUGCUGGAGCCAGAGCCACCGAAGGCACGGGAACCAGAGGUCUAACUGAGUAGAGGAUGGAGGAAUUAUCCGGACCCAGCUCGGACACGCUGGCCACUGUAGAAUCCAGCUCCAAUGAGCCUGACAAGGAGGUGGCAUCUCCGGAUGUGGCAGCUACAGCCACUCUUUCCUCCGUGGAGGAGCCCGGCCCUAACCCAACAGCCACGCCACCAGUAUGGGACCGUGGAGGACCUCUGCAGCAAGUUGCCUGUCCAGUCCCAGACAGCUGCCAGACUAGCUCGACCACCAGAGGCGUGGGGACCAAUGAGGACCUUCGGUUGCCUAGACGACGUCCACCACCAGGUUAUCUGUGGAGUUUCUGGGGAGUCCCAUGCCUUUGAUAGGACUGAGAUGGUGCAGGAUAUCCCAUUGGGGGGGUGGUCUUCACCAUUUACUGUGCAUCUUGUCAAUAUGUCAGGUAUGGCUCCAGGGAUGAACUAAACCAAUCUAGCCCUUCCAGGAAGUUUAUUCUAACAGUAGCUGGGUGGGGAGUGUUCAAGGCUUUGGGAAUGAGGGGAGGUCAGUAAGGAAAAGAUUAAUGAUACCCAUUUAUCCUGCAGGGAAACAAAUACCCUGCUCUAGCCCUGGCUGCUCCCUCAGUUUCCCCAGUGUUCGAGAUCUGGCACAGCAUCUCCGUACCCACUGUCCACCCACACAGUCACUGGAAGGUAA